GAUGAACGCUAGCGGGAGGCCUAACACAUGCCAGCCGAGCGGUAUUUGUCCUUCGGGACAGAGAGAGCGGCGUACGGGUGCGGAACACGUGUGCAACCUGCCUUUAUCUGGGGGAUAGCCUUUCGAAAGGAAGAUUAAUACCCCAUAAUAUAUCGAAUGGCAUCAUUCGAUAUUGAAAACUCCGGUGGAUAGAGAUGGGCACGCGCAAGAUUAGAUAGUUGGUGAGGUAACGGCUCACCAAGUCAGUGAUCUUUAGGGGGCCUGAGAGGGUGAUCCCCCACACUGGUACUGAGACACGGACCAGACUCCUACGGGAGGCAGCAGUGAGGAAUAUUGGACAAUGGGUGAGAGCCUGAUCCAGCCAUCCCGCGUGAAGGACUAAGGCCCUAUGGGUUGUAAACUUCUUUUAUACUGGGAUAAACCUACUUACGUGUAAGUAGCUGAAGGUACAGUAUGAAUAAGCACCGGCUAACUCCGUG
rnacentral:rRNA from 1 species